rnacentral:lncRNA from 1 species
GUUUUUUUUUUUUUUUUAAUUUGCCCAGUGCCCUGAACAAAGCAAUGAUGACAGAGAAACAGCAGGGUUUACACAUCUCUGUGAUGACCGCAGUUAAGAGCAACCUGUGGGAGGAGAGAGUCAUUGGGAAGUAGAGGGACAGAGCCCCAGAGUGAGCACUGCAAUGUCUGGUACUCUCAUAAAUACUGCAAUUCUACAUCAGUCUGCCAGUGUUACUAAGGAAAACUUCCUCCGUGAAAAGGGUCCACAUAAAGCCGCUCCCUUCCGCCCUCCACCCCCAGUGUGUGUGCUCAGUCCACUUUUAUGUCCCCAAGAGUACCUGUCAUGUGCUAUGCCUGUUCCCAGAGAGGCAUGGAAAGAUGAGCAGGCUUCUAGGCCACUCAUAUCCACCUGCCCAUCCCACACCUGCCCCUCCAGGCUCCACGACACCACAGUCUGACUGUUGUAAAUAUUGUUGUACAGUUUGUAAUCAAAUACUCCUGUCGUCAAAGGCCCUGCCUGCUGCGCCUUCUCCCCCUCGAGCAAGGCCAGGGAAUCUAGAAGGGAAAACCUUCAAGGAGAGCUUCAGGGUCCAUCUCUGUGUGAGACGCUACUGUAUAUUCCUGUAAGAUUGCAUUUUUAUCUAAGGAAUGAUGUUAUUUAAAAAACAAACAAAAACGCAAAAAAGAAUUGCAAAUAAAUUUCUUAACAAUGUC